CUCAGGGUCACAACUGGGCAUUUCACACGUUACCUAAAUUGAGCCUUUGAAAAUUAUUAUGAUUUAUUUUUUUUUUUUUUUAAUCACUCCCUUCGAGCGAAGCCUCAAAUGUUGCCACGUUCUCCUUCCAAACAGCCUUCUUUCUCUUGUAUUUUUAGAAAUGUUGUCAAAUGUUUUCCUUUCAUUGUCGAAAUGAGACGGUCAUUUGGGGGCAUCGACUGCAUAACCGGGGGAAGUUACUGGCAAUCAUGUGGAGGUUUGCCAACCAUUGGCGGCAGACUUUGACACCAGCGCGUCACGUUGUGCUAUAAGUGCUGGCCAACGAGCUCGGACACAGCAGAUCUCAAAAUGGAGUGGGGCGCUUGUUUCAUGGGGUUUCUGUGUUUGGUGGCCGUUGAGCCCUUGCAACAGUUCGACAGCAAAACAAAUGGGUUCUGCGACAGGGACAUAUUUAACGACCGAGAGGGGUACCUGUCCAGCCCGGGAUACCCCCAGCACCCCCCAACCCACGCCGUGUCCUGCCGUUACAAC